GACGAACGCUGGCGGCGUGCUUAACACAUGCAAGUCGAACGGAAAGGCCCUGCUUUUGUGGGGUGCUCGAGUGGCGAACGGGUGAGUAACACGUGAGUAACCUGCACUUGACUUUGGGAUAACUUCAGGAAAAUGGGGCUAAUACCGGAUAGGAGCUCCUGCUGCAUGGUGGGGGUUGGAAAGAUUCGGCGGUUGGGGCUGGACUAGCGGCUUAUCAGCUUGUUGGUGGGGUAGUGGCUUACCAAGGCUUUGACGGGUAGCCGGCCUGAGAGGGUGACCGGCCACAUUGGGACUGAGAUACGGCCCAGACUCCUACGGGCGGCAGCAGUGGGGAAUAUGGCACAAUGGGCGGAAGCCUGAUGCAGCAACGCCGCGUGCGGGAUGCCGGCCUUCGGGUUGUAAACCGCUUUCGCCUGUGACGAAGCGUGAGUGACGGUAAUGGGUAAAGAAGCACCGGCUAACUACGUG
rnacentral:rRNA from 1 species